rnacentral:rRNA from 1 species
GGGUGAGCGGCGGACGGGUUAGUAACGCGUGGGAAUAUGCCCUUUGGUACGGAAUAGCCUCUGGAAACGGAGAGUAAUACCGUAUGAGCCCUUCGGGGGAAAGAUUUAUCGCCAAAGGAUUAGCCCGCGUUAGAUUAGGUAGUUGGUGGGGUAAUGGCCUACCAAGCCUACGAUCUAUAGCUGGUUUUAGAGGAUGAUCAGCAACACUGGGACUGAGACACGGCCCAGACUCCUACGGGAGGCAGCAGUGGGGAAUCUUGGACAAUGGGGGCAACCCUGAUCCAGCCAUGCCGCGUGAGUGAUGAAGGCCUUAGGGUCGUAAAGCUCUUUCGCCUGUGAAGAUAAUGACGGUAGCAGGUAAAGAAACCCCGGCUAACUCCGUGCCAGCAGCCGCGGUAAUACGGAGGGGGUUAGCGUUGUUCGGAAUUACUGGGCGUAAAGCGCACGUAGGCGGAUCGGAAAGUUGGGGGUGAAAUCCCGGGGCUCAACCCCGGAACUGCCUCCAAAACUAUCGGUCUAGAGUUCGAGAGAGGUGAGUGGAAUUCCGAGUGUAGAGGUGAAAUUCGUAGAUAUUCGGAGGAACACCAGUGGCGAAGGCGGCUCACUGGCUCGAUACUGACGCUGAGGUGCGAAAGUGUGGGGAGCAAACAGGAUUAGAUACCCUGGUAGUCCACACCGUAAACGAUGAAUGCCAGUCGUCGGGUAGCAUGCUAUUCGGUGACACACCUAACGGAUUAAGCAUUCCGCCUGGGGAGUACGGUCGCAAGAUU